UGAAAGGUCUUAUAGCCCACUAAUUCCUAUCGGUAAUGCCUAGAAUGUAUGGGCUCUGGAGAGCUUUCGGUCACGUAAGGAGAUUCCUACAAUAUAGGAUCCGCUCAGUGGAUAUCUCCUGUAUAAGAUCAUACUUCUGUUUGACCCAUCAAGGAUGGAUAGGGACAGAGACAAGAUGGCAGAGAGUAUAAUAAAUCUCACCCUAGAGAUCCUCCUCAGGCUUACUGGAGAGGAAUACACAGUAGUGAAGAAGACUUCUAGUGAGCAUUGUCAGGACCCUGUGUUUGAAGGAUGGAGAAGAACCCUGAGAACAAUCUCUGGGCCGACACCUCACAUCCUGAUACAUGAGAGAGUCAAUACAGAGAAGAUCCUUGAACUCACCAACAAGAUCAUUGAGCGUCUGACUGGAGAGGUUCCUAUAAGGUGUCAGGAUGUCGCCAUCUAUUUCUCCAUUGAGGAGAGGGAGUAUUUAGAAGGACACAAAGACUGUACAAGAGCGUCAUGAUCAUGGAGAUCACCAGCCCCUCACAUCAUCAGUUAAAGAAGAGAGAACAACACCGGAGAGAUGUCCUAGUCCUCUUCUUCCACAGGAUGAUUCACAAGAACACCACAAUGUCCCACAGGAUGAUCAGGUAGAUGGAGAUAAGCUUUUGAACAAUAUUAAGGCUGAAGAAACAUAUGUGAGGGGUGAUGAGCAGAUCAUAGAGGACAUUCCCACCGAUAACCACCCAGAUGACUGUACCAGGAGCUCAGAGGAACAUCUAAUAUCUUCAGAUUUUAAAGCAGAAGAUUGUGGUGUCACAGAAGAUGAACAUGAAGAACAUGCUAUUUUCCCAGAUGUAUCGUCGGCCUUUCACACAAAAGAUCUAUCAUCUGAUUCUUUGGAGGGGUUCCGAUUUUCUAUUUUAUCACAGACUGUUAAGCAAAAUAAAAGUCACAGAAGAAGUGUUCAACAUCAAAGAACUCAUAUAGCAAAGAAGACUUAUUCAUGCUCAGAAUGUGGGAAAUGUUUUAACCAUAAAUCAAAUUUUGUUAAACAUGAGAGAAUUCACACAGGGGAGAAACCAUUUUCAUGUUCACACUGUGGGA